UACAGGGGGGGCAAGCGUUGUUCGGAAUUACUGGGCGUAAAGGGCCAGUAGGCGGCUAACUAAGUCCGACGUGAAAUCCCCAGGCUUAACCUGGGAACUGCGUCGGAUACUGGUUGGCUUGAAUUCGGGAGAGGGAUGCAGAAUUCCAGGUGUAGCGGUGAAAUGCGCAGAUAUCAGGAGGAACACCAAUGGCGAAGGCAGCUCGCUGGGACGUGACCGAGCUAAGGCGCGAAAAGCGUGGGGGAGCGAACAGG
rnacentral:rRNA from 1 species